UUGUCAGGCAGCAAUAAAAUGUUAAAUUAACCAAGUAUAAAACUGUUAGUCCCAGAGGGACGAUGUUCGCAAUUGUUUCUGGUUAGAUCCAAUAAAUGUAUGAAUUCACACUCGAAUGUCCAUCUGCAAUCUCUUGAAGUUCUUGAAAGAGUAUUUAUCGAGUGAGGUGCCAAUGUCUUCCAGGAUCAAACUGAUUCUUUAAACUGUGCACUCUUGGUAUAGGUUGUUGAUAGUAGCAAGUAAUGACGGUUCCCUUGGGCAGGAAGUAUUGCAAACUUCUUUGCGAAAGUAUGGGAUUUAAAUACAAACACAACAAUAAUUAUGAAGUA